GAUUUCUGACGAAACUGCUAGCUGGCCCGCCACGCAAGUGUGUGAGUGCCGGCUUGGCGUUUGUCAUCCGUUCGAAUGAUAUGCGUGCUGCCCUUCACUGGGUUGGCGCUGCAUGUUUUCGAUCUUUUACUUUGAAAAAAUUAGAGUGUUUCAAGCAGGCAUGUUUUGCUAUGAAUACAUUAGCAUGGAAUAAUAAUCUAGGACUUUCGGUUCUAUUUUGUUGGUGUUCUGGAGCUGAAGUAAUGAUUGAUAGGGAUAGUUGGGGGUGCUAGUAUUCAGCGGCCAGAGGUGAAAUUCUCGGAUUCGCUGAAGACUAACUUAUGCGAAAGCAUU
rnacentral:rRNA from 1 species